ensembl:lncRNA
CCGAGACAUCUUAUUCCAUAUAAUGUCACCAACGCACUGCAUGUAAAUAAAUUAUAUCAGCAUUUACAGUUUAUUUUCUCUAAGUAUGCUCUUCCUUCAAAACAAGAGCCCUGAAGAAAUUUCCAUUUUGAGCUUAAAAGGUAUUUACGCUAUAUAAAGUAAGCUACAGUAUCUAAAGUGUAACGUUUGUUUGCAUCUUAGCAGCGCUCAUCACCUCUCUUCUGGCCCUUUAAACCUCCAGCUGGUUGGCGAGACUCCCGCGGUGGCUGACGUCACUAAACUUUCCAGCGGACUGUUGUGUGUGUGUGUGUGUGUGUGCGGGCGCCUGUGUCUGUGUGGAAGAUGAGAGAGUGAGUGUGUGUGUGUAGAAGACCGCGUGAGCGUGCACUGCUCUGGACGCGCGAAGGAUUCCUGUUUUUCAGUGAGUGGAUCGUACUUUUGCUUUGGAAACUCCCGUGGAGACUAUGAGCUGGGAGCAGCUGUAAGACAUCUUGGCAGCCUGGUUUUAUCUUGUACUCCACAAGCUGUGGUCUUCUUUUCCCUUAUUUCCAACCAGGGCUAUGUGCCUCAUUACUGUCCUCUUCAUCUGUCAGAGCUCUAUGGCUGUUUGGGAUAAAAGGGUGUGAUUUAUGAUAAUUAUUCUGUUCAUAUGACCUUGCUAGUCUAGCAACAUGGAAUGUGUUCUUUCCAUGUUUUUUGUUUUGGUUUGGUUUGUUUUGGUAUAUUGCAAUCUGGGCUCAUUGUAAAAAUGUGCCUCUGGUGACAUUUCUACAAAAUUAUAUUACAUUGCUUCUACAGUUUUUCUGUUUUUAUUCAAAACAGAUCUGGUAACAAAUCUGGCAACGUUGGUUAUUUUACGUAUUGCAGCAGCUCAAAAAUUAUAUGUCUGGUAAAUGCUGCUAAAAGGUUAAAGCUCUAUCAUUUGAAAAUAACUUAAAACCUACACUAAACCCUAUACAAUAAUGUUAACAAAAAGAAACUAGAGAUAAAAAUGCAUUUGUUGAUCCAUGCCUUUUUAGCUUACUUCUACAAGCCUUUCAACUGUUUUAUCAUGGCUUGUGUAUCACGGGACUCAUAGCCAAGUGUUCCUUUCACAAAUGCAGUGCUUUAUCAUGUCAGAAAAGCCAAUUGGCCAUGUGAAGCAAACGUCAAAAUCUAUAUUUUAUGUACAUUUUAUAUGAAAAUAAAGUGCAGUGUUCCACACCA